UCUUAGUAGGAAAAAUUAAUUCUAAUUUUUGUUGUUUCUUCUUCUUUUGGGGCCAAAAGAGACCAGAUUCAAUUUUGGUUUCUUCAAAGGCCAAGCAUUUUGAUCUUUUUUUUUUUUUCAGGAAACCCUUUUGCCAUCUUGGAUUCCAAGUUCAAAAAUCAUCCAUGAAACUGGAGUAACCAAUAAUCUUCUUGUAGUAACAAUCAGAAAGAUACAAAAAACAUAUACAUUAUAAAAUGAAACUGAAUUGCUUUUUUUGUUGUAUGUCUGAGAGACGAUUUACCAGACGUUCAUCAUCGAUACCAAGCAUCAAAGACUGCAUUCAUGCAAAUAACAAUCUUUCUAGAUUUGACAACAUUUCUUUUAAAACAGAUAGCAGUAGGCGAAGAUACAUAUCCGAAGAGAUAGCAAAACUUGGGAAAGGGAACAUCAGUGCUCAUAUUUUUACAUUCAGAGAGCUCCGCGUCGCCACCAAGAACUUUAACCCUGAGAAUCAGCUCGGUGAAGGCGGUUUCGGAAGGGUUUACAAAGGGCACAUAGAAACCCCUGAAAAGGUUGUUGCGGUUAAGCAGCUAGACAGGAACGGCUACCAAGGGAACAGAGAGUUCCUUGUUGAAGUCAUGAUGCUGAGUCUCUUACAUCAUCAAAACCUUGUCAAUUUGGUUGGAUAUUGCGCAGACGGUGAUCAACGGAUUCUUGUCUAUGAAUAUAUGCAAAAUGGCUCAUUAGAAGAUCAUCUUCUCGAAUUGGUGCGGAACAAGAAGAAACCGUUGGAUUGGGACACAAGGAUGAAAGUUGCAGCAGGUGCAGCGAGAGGGCUCGAGUAUCUACACGAGACGGCUGAUCCUCCUGUGAUCUACAGAGACUUCAAGGCCUCCAACAUAUUACUUGACGAAGAAUUCAACCCAAAACUUUCGGAUUUUGGCUUAGCUAAAGUUGGUCCGACCGGUGGAGAGACUCAUGUGUCGACGAGAGUGAUGGGAACGUACGGCUACUGUGCGCCUGAGUAUGCUCUCACGGGACAGCUCACUGUGAAAUCCGAUGUUUACAGCUUCGGAGUCGUGUUCUUGGAGAUGAUCACAGGGCGAAGAGUCAUCGACACCAAGAAACCAACUCAAGAACAGAAUCUAGUGACUUGGGCGAGUCCGUUGUUUAAAGAUAAGAGAAAGUUCACGUUAAUGGCGGAUCCGUUGCUUGAAGGGAAGUAUCCGACAAAGGGAUUGUAUCAAGCGCUUGCAGUUGCAGCGAUGUGUCUACAAGAAGAAGCAGAAACAAGACCAACGAUGAGCGAUGUAGUCACCGCGCUUGAGUACUUAGGAGUGACCAAAGUCGAAGAAAAUAAUGAAACAGAUAACAACAACAAAGAAGGAGGAGAAGAUGAAAGAUCUAACCUUUAAGCAUUUUUUGUCUUGAUACGGUGCACAAAUCUGUAACUCAUCAUCAUGGAGUUAGGUUUUAGAGUUACAACAAGCAUUAUCAUACACAAAAUUAUUCCAACUACAUGGGGAUGCUUGCGGUUGAGGGGACCUACGAUAAGAUGGAGACCAAAACAUUCAUCCUGUAGAUAUACUUUUGAAGUUAGUAGCGUAAGAAGACAAGCCUAAGCUCGAGGAGCUUCUUAGAGCGCGGCGUUGACUUCACAGUUCUAGACGCUGAUGGAAGAACUGCAGCGAGUAGAUCCAUGAUAUGAUUCUUGGAUGACUCACUCAAAAGGCUUGACAAAAUCUUCAAUAGGUUAUUCUUACAGAGAAGUCAUGUCUGUUUUUGGUACCUACUUGAUAAAUCUCAGUUCUGUCUCUAUGUGUUACUUUUAAGUUUGGUCUAAUGUCUAAAGAUGCUGCAGCUUUAAAAUAAAGAUUGAUCUCAUUACCAAAAA